ACUUUCUUUUUCUAUUUUUUUUUAUUUAUUUAAAUGUUUUUUUCUGAUUAAAAGAAAAAUAAAAAAGGAUCUCUCUAUAUAUAUCUCUCUCUCUCUUAAUAAUCAACAAUCCAAACACCCCACCAUCGAUCAAAGUUGCUGCUUCCUCCCUCUGCUGUCCCCAUCUCCGUUCACUUCCUUUCUCAUCGAUGAGCAUCAGAACAAUACACAACAGGCAGUUGGGAACGCUGCCUGCGACCACCAUCUUAACCCACCUCCUCAUUCGAAUACCAUAACCCCUCCAUCACCGGUACGUGUCACCUCUCACUCUCUCCACUCGUUGUUCACAACCGAAGAAGAUGAAGGAAGAGGAAAAGUUGCCACCGAUCGAUGUUGUCGUCGUGAGUUCAAUCACCAUCGGCUGCCAUCGUCGCCUCUCACUGCUGCUGGGGAAGUUGCAACGGCCACCACUACUACCUUGCUGUUGUUUUCGAUCACUAACAACCCCUUACUCCUCCUUCCUCUCCCUCUCCUUUGCUAUCGGAAGAAGAGAAACGGGGCAGCUAGAGCCAGCGCUAUAAUCACCAAACACCCUUUGCCUUAUCGCCACCAUUAACUCCGACCACCACCACCUGCUGCUAUGUUUGAUCCACCUCCUACCAUCACCAUGUUUUCUCUCCCUAACUCGUGUGUUUACCCGACCUGCUAUGCUAUUUUCGAUCUGCUUCACCCUCCCCUGUUCUUCGUGUUUUCUGCUGAACAGAAGAGAGACAGUCGAGAUCGAUGACUACUGUUGCUGCUUUUCUUCAAUUGGAUCUUCGUCUUAUGAAAUUUGAUCACUUUUUCCUAAAUGGGUCUUCAUCUUAUCAAAUUAAAACCGAGAUCGUUGGCGAUUUGAAACUAUUUAUCAUGGAUCUGGAAACUAGGUCUCGUCAAAAUCAUUUAAUGUUCCUUUCGCCAGGAGAGUGUUGUCGCCGACACUUGAAGAUGAAAUCGAAUAGGCGAGAAGUCGUUUCCAGGUCUCUGUCAAAUGAAAUCGAAGAGGCGGGAGAGCAUCAAUGAUUCUCCAGAUCUCUGGUAUAAUCACAAAUUAGGUUUGAGUGUUUGUGACAACACAGUAAAGUAAGGAGAGAGAAAGAGAAAGAGAGAGAAAAUCUCAAACCUUUUUGGACCAAGUGACAAUUUUCAGCUAACCACAAGGACCAUUUGUGCA